UUAAGAUUUAUUAAGGAUUUAAUAGGAUUUUAUUGGGAUUUAGAGUUUUAUUGGAAUUUGGUUUAGAGCUAGGAUUUAGGAUUUGAUUAGGAAUUGGCCUAUGAUUAGGAUUUAGAAUUUUUCUAGAAUUUAAUAAGGAUUUUUUUAGGAUUUGAUUAAAAUUUGUUUAAGAUUUGAUAAGGUUUGAUUAGGAUUUAGAAUUUCAUUGGAACUUGGUGUAGAAUUUUAUUGGAAUUAGAUAUAAGAUUAGGAUUUAGAAUUUGAUUAGGAUUUGAUUUAGAGUUAGGAUUUAGGAUUUAAUUAGGAUUUAGGAUUUGAUUAAAAUUUGGCUCAAAAUUAGGAUUCAAGAUUUGAUUAUUACUUUGCCUAAAAUCAAGAUUUAGGAUUUGCUUAGGAUUUAAUUAGGAUAUGUUUAAUCUUUGAUUAAGAUUUAUCUAUGAUUUUAUUAGGAUUUAUUUAAAAUUUUAUUGAAAUUUACUUAAGAUUUAAUUAAGGUUUAUUUAGGAUUUAGAAUUUUAUUAAGAUUUAUUGA
rnacentral:lncRNA from 1 species